AAAGAGAAUGGGUCCAAGUACAGAUCCCUGAGGUACCCCACUGGUGACAAGUCCAAGCUUUGAAUAUAUUCCAUUAACUACAACACUCUGUUGCCUGUCACUCAGCCACUGCCUUACCCAUUCAACAAUAUUUGAAUCCAAACUUAAAGAUUGCAGUUUAUUGAUAAGCCAUCUAUGUGCAACAGUGUCAAAAGCCUUACU